rnacentral:rRNA from 1 species
UACGAAGGGGGCUAGCGUUGCUCGGAAUCACUGGGCGUAAAGCGCACGUAGGCGGAUUGUUAAGUCAGGGGUGAAAUCCUGGAGCUCAACUCCAGAACUGCCUUUGAUACUGGCGAUCUCGAGUCCGGGAGAGGUGAGUGGAACUGCGAGUGUAGAGGUGAAAUUCGUAGAUAUUCGCAAGAACACCAGUGGCGAAGGCGGCUCACUGGCCCGGUACUGACGCUGAGGUGCGAAAGCGUGGGAGCAACAGGGAUUAAGAU